UGGGGAAUAUUGCACAAUGGGCGCAAGCCUGAUGCAGCCAUGCCGCGUGUAUGAAGAAGGCCUUCGGGUUGUAAAGUACUUUCAGCGGGGAGGAAGGUGUUGAGGUUAAUAACCUCAGCAAUUGACGUUACCCGCAGAAGAAGCACCGGCUAACUCCGUGCCAGCAGCCGCGGUAAUACGGAGGGUGCAAGCGUUAAUCGGAAUUACUGGGCGUAAAGCGCACGCAGGGGGUCUGUCAAGUCGGAUGUGAAAUCCCCGGGCUCAACCUGGGAACUGCAUUCGAAACUGGCAGGCUAGAGUCUUGUAGAGGGGGGUAGAAUUCCAGGUGUAGCGGUGAAAUGCGUAGAGAUCUGGAGGAAUACCGGUGGCGAAGGCGGCCCCCUGGACAAAGACUGACGCUCAGGUGCGAAAGCGUGGGGAGCAAACA
rnacentral:rRNA from 1 species